AAAAGUAAAAUUAAUUUAAAUUUUUUAAGUGAAAUUUUAAAUUUAAUUAAUUUUAUUCUAAUAAUUUUAAUGAAACUAAAAAAUUUUAAUAAUAAACUAGGAUUAGAUACCCUAUUAUUUAAAAAGUAAAUUUGUAUGCUUGAGUAGUAAUAGAUAUGAUCUUCAAACUUAAAGAAUUUGGCGGUGUUUUAGUCUAUUUAGAGGAACCUGUCCUGUAAUCGAUAAUCCACGUUGGACCUUACUAAAAUUUGUUGUUAAUUUGUAUAUCGCCGUUAUCAGAAUAUCUUAAAAGAGAAAUAAUUUUCUUAAUUUAUAAUUAUAAUUGAUGUCAGGUCAAGGUGCAGUUUAUAUUUUAGUAGAGAUGGGUUACAAUAAAUUUAUUUAAACGUUAAAUUAUUUGAAAUAAUGAUUUUAAGGUGGAUUUAAAAGUAAAA
rnacentral:rRNA from 1 species